rnacentral:rRNA from 1 species
AUACGGAGGGUGCAAGCGUUAUUCGGAAUCACUGGGCGUAAAGGACGCGUAGGCGGGUUGGCAAGUCAGAUGUGAAAUCCUACAGCUUAACUGUAGAACUGCAUUUGAAACUGCUAACCUAGAGCAUGGGAGGGGGAGAUGGAAUUAGUGGUGUAGGGGUAAAAUCCGUAGAUAUCACUAGGAAUACCGAAAGCGAAGGCGAUCUCCUGGAACAUAACUGACGCUAAGGCGUGAAAGCGUGGGGAGCAAACAGGAUUAGAUACCCCAGUAGUCC